rnacentral:rRNA from 1 species
UACGUAGGGGGCAAGCGUUGUCCGGAAUUAUUGGGCGUAAAGGGCUCGUAGGCGGUUUGUCGCGUCGGGAGUGAAAUCCCCAGGCUCAACCUGGGAACUGCACUCGAAACUGCCUUUCUUGAGUGCCGGAGAGGAAAGCGGAAUUCCUGGUGUAGAGGUGAAAUUCGUAGAUAUCAGGAGGAACACCAGUGGCGAAGGCGGCUUUCUGGACGGUAACUGACGCUGAGACGCGAAAGCGUGGGGAGCAAACAGG